GGUGGAGUUUAGUUCAGCGGUGUUUGUGUGUGUAGUUAGGCGAUGGGUGGAGUUUAGUUCAGCGGUGUUUUUUAGUUCAGCAGUGUUUGUGUGUUCAGUUAGGCGAUGCGUGGAGUUUAGUUCAGCAGUGUUUGUGUGCUUAGUUAGGCGAUGGGUGGAGUUUAGUUCCGUGUGUAAGGCUGAGGCAGCAGCAGUGCAGAGCAGAGCUCUAGCGGAGCUUCAGUCGGAUUCACAGCUCGAACUCGCUCUGACCGUCGCGCACUUUCUCAGAUGUGUUUCUGUGUUUCCAGCGCGCUGAGUUGGGCAGCUGGAGGACUAGUUUGCUGAGUUAGGCAGCUGGAGGACUAGUUUAGUUUAGCGAUGUCCUGCUCGCGCGCUUAGUGGUUAGUUUGU
ensembl:lncRNA